rnacentral:rRNA from 1 species
UAGCGUUGUUCGGAAUUACUGGGCGUAAAGCGCGCGUAGGCGGCUUUGUAAGUUAGAGGUGAAAGCCCGGAGCUCAACCCCGGAACUGCCUUUAAAACUGCAUCGCUUGAAUCCAAGAGAGGUGAGUGGAAUUCCGAGUGUAGAGGUGAAAUUCGUAGAUAUUCGGAAGAACACCAGUGGCGAAGGCGGCUCACUGGACUGGUAUUGACGCUGAGGUGCGAAAGCGUGGGGAGCAAACAGG